GUUAGUCUGCCUUGCACCCUGUAAAUAAUUAAUGAUCCCAGUGUAGUAUAUGGUUAUAACACUGAGAUACAAUUCAUCAGACUCCCACAUCCAAUCCUCAAAAAACUAAACUGCCUAUUCAUAGAAUUAAUGUUACUGAAAAAAACAUUAAAGUUUGUUUUCUAGCUCAAAUUGUAUAUGGUGACUGCAGGACUAAGUCUUUGGGAGCAGCUUUCUGAAACUGGUGGAGGCAGUUUGGCCUUUAAGCCUUAGAAGUGCUUUUACAAACUUGUAGAAAGGCACAUUUGGCUGUGUUAGUUUGGGAUGCCACUCAGUUACACAAACACAGCACCAAAAGUUUUCCUUGAAAACUCUUCCUACAGCACAACAAAAUGCUGUGGCUUGAACUUUUGAACCUUUUUUUCUAAAUGAAAUUAUUUCAAACUUAGUAUGUAUAUUUGCUUGAAUUGCCCACAGUGAUGAAAUAUUCUACUUCUUUUCCAACAAGCAAAUAUGUGAAACCCACUGAAGAGUCAAAAGCCCUGUAAUAUCAGUUCUCUCCGUGAUUACAUCAAUGAACUGUGGAUUUGGAAUUGUGGAAGCCUAAUGAUGACAAAGAUAAAGCAGGACUGACUUUAAUACAUGUUUGUAGAGUUAGCUCCUGCAUUUUUACAGAAAGGUUAUGUCCUGGUUUCAUCUGGGAUAGAGUUAAUUUUCUUCUUAUUAGCUGGUGCAGUGUUUUGGAUUUGGUGCGAGAACACUGCUGACAGCACACGGAUGGGUUUGUUUGUUGCUGGGUGAGGGUUAUACUGUGUCCAGGACUUUUCAGUUUCUCAGUCCCUGCCAGCGAGAGGGCUGGAGUGGCACAGGGAACUGGGAGGGGACACAGCCAGGGCAGCUGACCCAAACUAGCCAAAGGGAUAUUGCAUGCCAUGGGAUGUCACACUUUGUGUAUAAACUGGGGGGCAUCGGUCAGGGUGAGCUGACCAUUGCUUGGGGACUGGCUGGGCAUCGGUCAGCAGGCAGUUGUGUUGUGCAUGACUUGUUUUUCUUUCCUCCCUUCCCUUUGGAUUUCAUUCCUCUCCCUCUCUCCCUCCUUUUCCUUAUAACUGUUAUUGUUGUUAUUAUUGUUGCUCUUUCAUUUUUAUUUUAUUUCAAUUAUUGAAUUGUUCGUAUCUCAACCCUUGAGUUUCACAUUCCAUUCUGAUUCUCCUCUCCAUCCCUCUGGGUGAGAAGGGAGUGAGUGAGUGGCUGCAUGGCAUUUAAUUACCACCAGGGUUAAACCAUGACAGGUUACUAAAAAUAAAGAAAAAUAAACCUAAGGGGAGAUGAUUUUCAAAUUUUUGUUUGAUUUGGGGCAGGGGGAUUUUUUUAAAAGCAAACAAAAAGCACAAUCCAUCUAGAGUAAAAAUCUAUUUCUAUGGAAGAAGAAUCUCCUUCCUUGAUCCAAGAAGCAGAAUUCUGAAGGAAUGUGUGUUUCUCCCUGUAAAACCUAACACAGUUUUGCCACAGAUUUCAGUUGAAGCAGGACUGGAUUAUGAUUCUUCUAAGAAAAAGAAACUUAGAAAAGACUGCCCGAAACCCCAGAAAGCAUAUAACUAUUGAGCAAACCGGUAUUUCACAAUGUAGGUUUAAAUAUAUUAACAGAUAGAAACUCCUGUAAAAUUGUUACCACACAGCAUCAUUAGAUCACAUCACUGAUGCAUUUCACCACCUGAAUUUACAGGACCUGCUUGUGACCUUUACAAGUCUGCUGCUUGUGACCAUAAAAAUGACAGCUCCUUCCAUGCUGCACAGCCCUUCUGGCAUGCUACAGGUCAGUGGUCCACACACAUCCCUGAACAUGGAGCCUGAGGUCUCCUGGCCUUCACCAGAAGCCACCAAAGGCUCCUUGUUGCCUGCCUGCCUUGCUAGUCAGACAUGAUCCUCCUCCAAUGCGCUUACGUGCUGUGCGUUGCUUUUUUUUCAGUAGACUGAAAGUAAAGUCUGAAGAAACAAAGCCCAAACUGAACAGGCAUGCAUCUUCAGUAAAGUAGUUACUUUCUAAUACAAACCUGUAACAGAACUUUGUUAUCAUGUUAGCUGUAAAAUAAAAUGCUAAUUAAAUAAAAAAACAGUAUCACAACCUUUGCUCUGGGGAUGCUGUUAUCAGAUCAAUUGGUAUAUAUUGUUUGCAGUAGUUGUUUCAAAUUUUCUUAUUGAUUUUUAUGUCUUCCAGGUUGUGAAUUUUAAUACUAUUAGCCUCUACAUGAAAUGUAUUAGUGUUUUGUCAUUUAAAUGAGGAAAAAGAUAGGAAUCGAGUUAUGCAGAUGAAACCCCCAGUAUUGAUUUAUUAUUAAUACUGAAAGGUCACCAUCUGGACAAUUCCAUAAAAUAAUACAUCUGUAUUGCUGCUAAAUGGGAGCUUUAACAUCUGGAUCAUAUUAUUCCAAAUUUUCCUCAUCCACCCAUCAUAGCAAGAGGAAUUUCCUGACAAAUCAGAUUGCUGCCCAAAGGUAAAAUGUUUUUCUCAUUACCGUACUUUAAAUGAGCUCAAAAAGACCUAGAAGUGAAGUCAGCAUCAGCAUCAUAGACAACUUUCCCAUUGUCUAAUUAUGCAGAUUAAAUAGGUCAUACAAGCACCGAGUGAAAAAUGUCCAUCUGUCCUCUGCUUCCCUCACAAUGCUCCCACUACUCCGAGCGAGUAAGAAUGCCUAUCACCAGCAAUUUCAGCAGAAGAGCAUUAUUCCGCUAUCCUUUCCAUCUUAUAGCAUAUGGUGAAAACUGCAUACAUAAAGAAAAUAACUGUAAUAAUUAGAUUUAUUGUGAGGGACUGACCUUACCAGAACUUGUUAACUUGGCAAUGCAAGCUAACUGGCUCUUUAAAAAUCUAGUUCCUUUUGAUGUGGACAUAUUCAAAUACUCAAAAGCAUAUGCAUGGAAGAAAUAAUAAAUCAGCUGUUUGGGGUUUUUUUAAGGUUUAAAUAAUGUGCUUAUACUUUGAUAGUACAUUGGAAACUGGCAGGGAUUUCUAUAUUAAGUAAAUCAACCAACCUUAUUUUCAAGAUUUGCCUCAUUACUUAGGUAUAGAAAUAAAUGCUGUCAUAACUAUGCUGCUUCAUUUUUCAACUGUAUUCCAAAGUAAGUUCUCAUUACAUGACUGUCACAUGGUACAAGAUACACAAUCAGUAAAAUGGGCAACCACCUAUGGGACUAGAUGUAAAGCUUUUGUUUUUGAGAUUGUUCGGAGACCAUGACAAAUCUGCCUUUUUAUCUCAGAUAUUUUAAGACUUCUGUUAUGCAAGAGGAGAAAAAUUUUGUCCACAUAUAUAAUAUUUCUUUAACUUUCAUCAAUAGACAGCUUCUGACAGCAAGCAAAUUGCAUUAUAGGAAUCAGCUGAGUACCAGGAUAGUAUAUAUAGGAAUCAGCUGAUAGUGAGAAUUUCCUUUGGGAAAAUACAGAGUCAAAGCACUAAUAAGCUUUUCCCUUCCUUCCCCAUUUGAUAUGCUAGACUGCUGCCUUUAUGUUGAGAAAAAUGAAUAAGAUAGGCUAGGACAAGGCAGGAAUGUUUUUUCAAGGAUGUUAAUUCUCUGACUAGGAUUCUUUGUUGCCACCUCACAUCCCAGAGCACAUACUACAGUUGCAAGCACAUCUUACUGGGUUAGAGGAGUGCAAAGUUUGUGAGUGAAAUGGAGAAAUGAGAGCAUUAUCUGAACACAGAUACAAGCCUAUUGAAAAAUCAGAUUUUUACAGUGUGAACUGGCAGAACACAGGCUCCACAUUUAUUUUUUUAAAUUUCAAAUAACAAUAAAAUUCUCAAAAGUAACUGAAAAAUUAUCAUUUUCUUUAAUCUGCUUCCUCAUCAUAUGGGAGUUAACCCCAAACUGUCAGCAACGAUCUAGAAAAAAAACCACCCACAGUUGUCAGUAGCCUACAUUUUAUUUCAGGCUAAGACUUACUAGAAAAAACCUACUCCUUAUCCCCGCCCCCUCGUGCUAGGAUAACACCCCUGUUACUCUAUACGUAGCCAUCUGGUGAAGGGUAAUCUCUUCCCUCUUGCCAAAAUUAUCUACAGCUGAGCCUUGGUUGCUUUGCUGCAACUUUUUUGCUCUGGCCUCUUUGAAAUAGGAGCUUUCCUAGUAUGCCUGCCUUUUUUUUUUUUUUUCCUCCCCCAGGAGAUAUUUUACAUUCUUGAUAAGGCUGGAUAAGGCUCUUUUGGAAGAUACAUGCUGUUGCUGUUUCUCUUGCAUCUAGCAUCGCAGACCUUGGGUGCUGGAAAUGCAAGGGACAGUCCCCGUCAGGCUCGGGGAGAAAGGAACAGCAGGUGGCGUCGGGAACCCUUCGGGAAACGAUCCCUCGAUCCCUCCAUCCCAGACCCUGCGCCUCCCCGUCCCCCCUCCCCCCGGCCGGGCGCUGCCCCGUCCCUCUGACGCGCCUUACCUUGCUGCAGAGGGGCACGGUGUGCUUUGAUCCUACGGUCACACCUCAACCAAACGGAGAUGUUUUAUGGGAAGCCAGCCUUAGCCAUGAUGACUUCUAAACCGCAGGAUCCCUGUAUGUCCAUUUUCCAGACUGGGCUUCCCAGAGGCCUGAGUCGCUGCUUGUGGCACAGGAAAGAGAUGGGGACCUGCAGCAUUCCCACUGGGAAGGUGGGUGGCUGCAGUGCUGCCCCAGGCCAGCUGUUGUGACGCACUGAAGCCAGUGCCAGCUUGUUGAAGGUUUCAAGGCAGAGGGCAUGCUGAUGGAUGAAAUCUCCCUAUGGACCAGCUUCUCUCUUAAAGUUGUUUCAUACCUGGAAAAGAAAUGUCCUGAAUGUCAAGUAUCACUUGUGGAAGGGCUUAAAAGUAGUUUGUUUCUUACAGCUCCACAUAUUCUUGCCAUUUAUUACCUGUGUUCAACUCAUCCCUUUAAACAAUAAAUCUGUCAGCUCUUCGCCUCA